rnacentral:misc_RNA from 1 species
CGAACAUAUCAACCAUGCAAACAUGGUGCUCCACUCCUGGAACCACACCAUACUCUUGCUUCAUGCUUGCAAAAACUGAACGCCCUUCAUCUAUUAGCCCUGCAUGCGCACAUGCAGAUAACACGGCAACAAAGGUGACACUGUUAGGCACCACCCCACGUGCCUUCAUUCGAUGAAAAACCUCCAUUGCCUCAACACCAUAGCCAUGCAUCCCGUAC